CGCAUCUGUGCAUGCAGCAUAUCAAUAAGCGGAGGAAAAGAAACUAACAAGGAUUCCCUUAGUAACGGCGAGUGAAGCGGGAAGAGCUCAAAUUUGAAAUCUUCAAGGUUUUACCUUGACGAAUUGUAGUUUAAAGAAGUGUUUUCUGUUGAAGUUCUGGUAAAAGUUCUUUGGAAUAGGACAUCAUAGAGGGCGAGAAUCCCGUAUUUGACCAUUAUUUUCAGCUGUGUGAUACACUUUCAAAGAGUCGGAUUGUUUGGGAAUGCAGUCCAAAAUGGGUGGUAAAUUUCAUCUAAAGCUAAAUAUUGGCGAGAGACCGAUAGCGAACAAGUACCGUGAGGGAAAGAUGAAAAGAACUUUGAAAAGAGAGUUAAACAGUACGUGAAAUUGUCAAAAGGGAAGCGUUUGACACCAGUGUUGUUUUCUCGAAAAUCAAUUAAAAAGAGUUUAGAUUUUGUUGUGUAUUGACCUUAACAGCUUGCAUUUCAAUUUUCUUGCUUUUUUUAAUGCACUUUUCGUUUAACAAGUCAACAUCAGUUUCUUUUGUUGUAAAAAGGUCAUUGGAAGGUGGCUUUCUUUUCGGAGAAAGUGUUUAUAGCCUUUGACUCCUGCAAUCGGAGAGACUGAGGUCUGCAGCGUAGAUCCUUCGGGGUUAGAUACAUUUGUGCUAAGUUAUAGCUUUUUAUAGACAACUUGUUGACUAUGAUUAGUCUUGUAGCUUACUCGCUUAUGCUAUUUUACCUACGCUUAGGAUGUUGACGCGCGUGUGUGCGUG
rnacentral:rRNA from 1 species